GCCUUCAUGGUGUAGUGGUUCUGCACGCUGGGCCGGUAUUCCAGAGGUCCGGGGUUCGAUUCCCGGUGAAGGCG
rnacentral:tRNA from 1 species